AGUGAACCAGUACCGUGAGGGAAAGGCGAAAAGAACCCCGGCGAGGGGAGUGAAAAAGAACCUGAAACCGUGUACGUACAAGCAGUGGGAGCCUCUUAAUGGGGUGACUGCGUACCUUUUGUAUAAUGGGUCAGCGACUUAUAUUCUGUAGCAAGGUUAACCGAAUAGGGGAGCCGAAGGGAAACCGAGUCUUAACUGGGCGUUAAGUUGCAGGGUAUAGACCCGAAACCCGGUGAUCUAGCCAUGGGCAGGUUGAAGGUUGGGUAACACUAACUGGAGGACCGAACCGACUAAUGUUGAAAAAUUAGCGGAUGACUUGUGGCUGGGGGUGAAAGGCCAAUCAAACCGGGAGAUAGCUGGUUCUCCCCGAAAGCUAUUUAGGUAGCGCCUCGUGAAUUCAUCUCCGGGGGUAGAGCACUGUUUCGGCAAGGGGGUCAUCCCGACUUACCAACCCGAUGCAAACUGCGAAUACCGGAGAAUGUUAUCACGGGAGACACACGGCGGGUGCUAACGUCCGUCGUGAAGAGGGAAACAACCCAGACCGCCAGCUAAGGUCCCAAAGUCAUGGUUAAGUGGGAAACGAUGUGGGAAGGCCCAGACAGCCAGGAUGUUGGCUUAGAAGCAGCCAUCAUUUAAAGAAAGCGUAAUAGCUCACUGGUCGAGUCGGCCUGCGCGGAAGAUGUAACGGGGCUAAACCAUGCACCGAAGCUGCGGCAGCGACACUAUGUGUUGUUGGGUAGGGGAGCGUUCUGUAAGCCUGUGAAGGUGUACUGUGAGGUAUGCUGGAGGUAUCAGAAGUGCGAAUGCUGACAUAAGUAACGAUAAAGCGGGUGAAAAGCCCGCUCGCCGGAAGACCAAGGGUUCCUGUCCAACGUUAAUCGGGGCAGGGUGAGUCGACCCCUAAGGCGAGGCCGAAAGGCGUAGUCGAUGGGAAACAGGUUAAUAUUCCUGUACUUGGUGUUACUGCGAAGGGGGGACGGAGAAGGCUAUGUUGGCCGGGCGACGGUUGUCCCGGUUUAAGCGUGUAGGCUGGUUUUCCAGGCAAAUCCGGAAAAUCAAGGCUGAGGCGUGAUGACGAGGCACUACGGUGCUGAAGCGACAAAUGCCCUGCUUCCAGGAAAAGCCUCUAAGCAUCAGGUAACAUCAAAUCGUACCCCAAACCGACACAGGUGGUCAGGUAGAGAAUACCAAGGCGCUUGAGAGAACUCGGGUGAAGGAACUAGGCAAAAUGGUGCCGUAACUUCGGGAGAAGGCACGCUGAUAUGUAGGUGAAGCGACUUGCUCGUGGAGCUGAAAUCAGUCGAAGAUACCAGCUGGCUGCAACUGUUUAUUAAAAACACAGCACUGUGCAAACACGAAAGUGGACGUAUACGGUGUGACGCCUGCCCGGUGCCGGAAGGUUAAUUGAUGGGGUUAGCGGUAACGCGAAGCUCUUGAUCGAAGCCCCGGUAAACGGCGGCCGUAACUAUAACGGUCCUAAGGUAGCGAAAUUCCUUGUCGGGUAAGUUCCGACCUGCACGAAUGGCGUAAUGAUGGCCAGGCUGUCUCCACCCGAGACUCAGUGAAAUUGAACUCGCUGUGAAGAUGCAGUGUACCCGCGGCAAGACGGAAAGACCCCGUGAACCUUUACUAUAGCUUGACACUGAACAUUGAGCCUUGAUGUGUAGGAUAGGUGGGAGGCUUUGAAGUGUGGACGCCAGUCUGCAUGGAGCCGACCUUGAAAUACCACCCUU
rnacentral:rRNA from 1 species